AUUCCCCUACACUGCAUGGAUCUGAGCAGUAUUUGACAACUUUGGCGCUCAGGUCAGGGCCAUUUGGGGAAAUAAGACAUGUGGGGUUCCUGUAUGUUUUGGGGUACUUUUUAUGUUUGUCUCUCUAUAUCUGUGAGAUAAUUCAUUGACUCCCAAGACAUAGAGACAUCUGGGCGGAGCUUGCAUUGUAUUGUAUGGAGACCCUAUGCCGGGUUCUGUGUAUAAAAUCAGUUGUACUCCCAGAACUGUGUGUCAUCCAGUUACUACCCUGUUUCAGGAAGGAGAAUUUCGAAGAAGACCCCAGUCAAGCUACAACAACUGGGGCAUAAGUGCUGCAGUUUCCCUG